rnacentral:rRNA from 1 species
ACGAACGCUGGCUGCGUGCUUAACACAUGCAAGUCGAACGGAAAGGCCCUGCUUUUGUGGGGUGCUCGAGUGGCGAACGGGUGAGUAACACGUGAGUAACCUGCCCUUGACUUUGGGAUAACUUCAGGAAACUGGGGCUAAUACCGGAUAGGAGCUCCUGCUGCAUGGUGGGGGUUGGAAAGUUUCGGCGGUUGGGGAUGGACUCGCGGCUUAUCAGCUUGUUGGUGGGGUAGUGGCCUACCAAGGCUUUGACGGGUAGCCGGCCUGAGAGGGUGACCGGCCACAUUGGGACUGAGAUACGGCCCAGACUCCUACGGGAGGCAGCAGUGGGGAAUAUUGCACAAUGGGCGGAAGCCUGAUGCAGCAGCGCCGCGUGCGGGAUGACGGCCUUCGGGUUGUAAACCGCUUUCGCCUGUGACGCAGCGCGAGUGACGGUAAUGGGUAAAGAAGCACCGGCUAACUACGUG